rnacentral:rRNA from 1 species
UACGGAGGGUGCGAGCGUUAUUCGGAAUUAUUGGGCGUAAAGCGCGUGUAGGCGGGGAUACAAGUCUGAUGUGAAAGCCCUGGGCUUAACCUGGGAAGUGCAUUGGAAACUGUAUUUCUUGAGUACUGGAGAGGAAGGGGGAAUUCCCGGUGUAGAGGUGAAAUUCGUAGAGAUCGGGAGGAAUACCAGUGGCGUAGGCGCCUUUCUGGACGGUUACUGACGCUGAGACGCGAAAGCGUGGGGAG